rnacentral:rRNA from 1 species
UACGGAGGGUGCGAGCGUUGUCCGGAAUCAUUGGGCGUAAAGGGCUCGUAGGCGGCCAACUAAGUCGGAUGUGAAAUCCCCAGGCUCAACCUGGGAACUGCAUCCGAUACUGGAUGGCUUGAAUCCGGGAGAGGGAUGCAGAAUUCCAGGUGUAGCGGUGAAAUGCGUAGAUAUCUGGAGGAAUACCGGUGGCGAAGGCGGCAUCCUGGACCGGCAUUGACGCUGAGGAGCGAAAGCCAGGGGAGCAAACGGG